rnacentral:rRNA from 1 species
UUUAUGGAGAGUUUGAUCCUGGCUCAGGAUGAACGCUGGCGGCGUGCCUAAUACAUGCAAGUCGAGCGAACGGACGAGAAGCUUGCUUCUCUGAUGUUAGCGGCGGACGGGUGAGUAACACGUGGAUAACCUACCUAUAAGACUGGGAUAACUUCGGGAAACCGGAGCUAAUACCGGAUAAUAUUUUGAACCGCAUGGUUCAAAAGUGAAAGACGGUCUUGCUGUCACUUAUAGAUGGAUCCGCGCUGCAUUAGCUAGUUGGUAAGGUAACGGCUUACCAAGGCAACGAUGCAUAGCCGACCUGAGAGGGUGAUCGGCCACACUGGAACUGAGACACGGUCCAGACUCCUACGGGAGGCAGCAGUAGGGAAUCUUCCGCAAUGGGCGAAAGCCUGACGGAGCAACGCCGCGUGAGUGAUGAAGGUCUUCGGAUCGUAAAACUCUGUUAUUAGGGAAGAACAUAUGUGUAAGUAACUGUGCACAUCUUGACGGUACCUAAUCAGAAAGCCACGGCUAACUACGUGCCAGCAGCCGCGGUAAUACGUAGGUGGCAAGCGUUAUCCGGAAUUAUUGGGCGUAAAGCGCGCGUAGGCGGUUUUUUAAGUCUGAUGUGAAAGCCCACGGCUCAACCGUGGAGGGUCAUUGGAAACUGGAAAACUUGAGUGCAGAAGAGGAAAGUGGAAUUCCAUGUGUAGCGGUGAAAUGCGCAGAGAUAUGGAGGAACACCAGUGGCGAAGGCGACUUUCUGGUCUGUAACUGACGCUGAUGUGCGAAAGCGUGGGGAUCAAACAGGAUUAGAUACCCUGGUAGUCCACGCCGUAAACGAUGAGUGCUAAGUGUUAGGGGGUUUCCGCCCCUUAGUGCUGCAGCUAACGCAUUAAGCACUCCGCCUGGGGAGUACGACCGCAAGGUUGAAACUCAAAGGAAUUGACGGGGACCCGCACAAGCGGUGGAGCAUGUGGUUUAAUUCGAAGCAACGCGAAGAACCUUACCAAAUCUUGACAUCCUUUGACAACUCUAGAGAUAGAGUCUUCCCCUUCGGGGGACAAAGUGACAGGUGGUGCAUGGUUGUCGUCAGCUCGUGUCGUGAGAUGUUGGGUUAAGUCCCGCAACGAGCGCAACCCUUAAGCUUAGUUGCCAUCAUUAAGUUGGGCACUCUAAGUUGACUGCCGGUGACAAACCGGAGGAAGGUGGGGAUGACGUCAAAUCAUCAUGCCCCUUAUGAUUUGGGCUACACACGUGCUACAAUGGACAAUACAAAGGGCAGCGAAACCGCGAGGUCAAGCAAAUCCCAUAAAGUUGUUCUCAGUUCGGAUUGUAGUCUGCAACUCGACUACAUGAAGCUGGAAUCGCUAGUAAUCGUAGAUCAGCAUGCUACGGUGAAUACGUUCCCGGGUCUUGUACACACCGCCCGUCACACCACGAGAGUUUGUAACACCCGAAGCCGGUGGAGUAACCUUUUAGGAGCUAGCCGUCGAAGGCGGGACAAAUGAUUGGGGUGAAGUCGUAACAAGGUAGCCGUAUCGGAAGGUGCGGCUGGAUCACCUCCUUUCU